GACGAACGCUGGCGGCGUGCUUAACACAUGCAAGUCGAACGAAGUGGCGAACGGGUGAGUAACGCGUAAUCAACCUGCCCUUCAGAGGGGGAAAACAGUUGGAAACGACUGCUAAUACCGAAUACUGAAGGAGGGGAUUGAGUCGGAGUAGCUAGUUGGAGGGGUAACGGCCCACCAAGGCGAGGCUCAGUAGCCGGGCUGUGAGUAUGAGCGGCCACAAUGUGACGUGGACACGGCCCCGAGUUCUACGGGAGUAAGCGGUUGGGACGUGUCCGCAAUGGAAGAAAGUCUGACGGAGCAACGCCGCGUGGGUGAUGACGGCCGUCGCGUUGUAAAGCUCUGUUAAUCGGGACGCGUUACCGGAAGAGAAAGCCACGGCUAACUACGUGCCAGCAGCCGCGGUAAUUC
rnacentral:rRNA from 1 species